AGCGAACGUUAGCGGCAGGCCUAACACAUGCAAGUCGAGCGAGAAAAGAAUUUCGGUUCUUAGUAAAGCGGCGAACGGGUGAGUAACACGUGGAUAAUCUGCCCUCUGGCGGGGAAUAACCAUCCGAAAGGAUGAAUAAUGCCGCGUAAGUCAUAAAAAUCUUUGGGUAUUUAUGGGAAAGGAGGCCCUUAAAAGCUUCCGCCAGAGGAUGAGUCCGCGGCCCAUCAGCUAGUUGGUGAGGUAAUGGCUCACCAAGGCUAAGACGGGUAGCUGGUCUGAGAGGAUGAUCAGCCACACUGGGACUGAGACACGGCCCAGACUCCUACGGGAGGCAGCAGUGGGGAAUCUUGGGCAAUGGGCGAAAGCCUGACCCAGCCAUGCCGCGUGAGUGAUGAAGG
rnacentral:rRNA from 1 species